AGUGAACGCUGGCGGUAGGCCUAACACAUGCAAGUCGAACGGCAGCACAGUAAGAGCUUGCUCUUACGGGUGGCGAGUGGCGGACGGGUGAGGAAUACAUCGGAAUCUACUUUUUCGUGGGGGAUAACGUAGGGAAACUUACGCUAAUACCGCAUACGACCUACGGGUGAAAGCAGGGGAUCUUCGGACCUUGCGCGAUUGAAUGAGCCGAUGUCGGAUUAGCUAGUUGGCGGGGUAAAGGCCCACCAAGGCGACGAUCCGUAGCUGGUCUGAGAGGAUGAGCAGCCACACUGGAACUGAGACACGGUCCAGACUCCUACGGGAGGCAGCAGUGGGGAAUAUUGGACAAUGGGCGCAAGCCUGAUCCAGCCACACCGCGUGGGUGAAGAAGGCCUUCGAGUUGUAAAGCCCUUUUGUUAGGAAAGAAAAGCAGCAGGUUAAUACCCCGCUGUUCUGACGGUACCCAAAGAAUAAGCACCGGCUAACUUCGUG
rnacentral:rRNA from 1 species